CAGUGUAUGAUUAUAUCUGGAAAAACCAUGGCUUCAAGUCCAGAAUCUCCAGCUGUGACCUCCAAAAGCAAAAUGAAAUUUCUGUGUCUGCACUUGGUCCAGGAGAUAUUAUUUCUCAUGUAUCUAUAUACACCGUUUAUCCCAGUGGAUUCCAAGAGCUGUACCGCCAUUUUCUCAGACUCCCCAGUGGUGCCAUUGUUGAGGUGUUUGGUGAUAUCAGUGGCCUAAGGUUUAUCCCCACGGAAGUGGCCACAGCAAUUCAGGAGCAUAUAAGCGAAAUGGAUGGUACAUCGGAAGACUCCUUUGAUAUUAAAUCAAGAGAAGUGAAAAGAAUCCAUUAAAAUUAAAAGGAAUUGGUGGUCCCAAUGAAAGAAGUGGCAUAAUUAAGAGAAGCAAUAUUUUCUGGCCCCUGAAAGAUGCCCAUAUCCACAGUGUAUUUCUUAAUCCAAGGAGUCUCUCACUACAUUAUUUCAGCAUAUAAGUUGUUCAGUGGUUUU